rnacentral:rRNA from 1 species
CUACAGGGGGCUCCAGUGGGGAAUAUUGCACAAUGGGCGCAAGCCUGAUGCAGCCAUGCCGCGUGUAUGAAGAAGGCCUUCGGGUUGUAAAGUACUUUCAGCGGGGAGGAAGGGAGUAAAGUUAAUACCUUUGCUCAUUGACGUUACCCGCAGAAGAAGCACCGGCUAACUCCGUGCCAGCAGCCGCGGUAAUACGGAGGGUGCAAGCGUUAAUCGGAAUUACUGGGCGUAAAGCGCACGCAGGCGGUUUGUUAAGUCAGAUGUGAAAUCCCCGGGCUCAACCUGGGAACUGCAUCUGAUACUGGCAAGCUUGAGUCUCGUAGAGGGGGGUAGAAUUCCAGGUGUAGCGGUGAAAUGCGUAGAGAUCUGGAGGAAUGCCGGUGGCGAAGGCGGCCCCCUGGACGAAGACUGACGCUCAGGUGCGAAAGCGUGGGGAGCAAACAGGAUUAGAUACCCUUGUAGUC